rnacentral:tRNA from 1 species
GCGGCGCGUCGGCGGGGCCGGGGUGCCCUCCGCGUCCGGGGCGUUGCUCGGGGCGUCGUCCCGGGCGUCGUCGGUCGCCCCGCCGGCGCCGUCC